GGUUAUGUAGAUUGAUUUUAGACCAGAGUAUAAGUUGGGACUUUCACAUAAGAAAAAUAAAAAGAUUAUUGAAUUGAAGAUUCGCGUAGUAUAAUGACAAGUGAAGCAGAAUCACAGCCUAUCCUCUUACCAAGCGUUCAUUUUGCACAUGCAAGCUCCUUCAAAUUCAAGCAAUUCAUCAAAGAGAAAACUGAAACAGAAGUGACACCUGUGAGAAAAACUGUGGUAGUGCCCGAGCUAUCCGGAUCGGCAGUUAAAAAAGAGUAUGAUCGAAUUGUUUGUGAUGCAACCACGUCUAGUGCCAACUCGAAACUUUGUAGUGUAGUUAGAAGAAACAUUAGCAAGAAGAAAAGUAAAGCUUUCGAUAAAGUUUUGACUGUUAAUGCUUUAAUGAGAGCUGUUGAAAGAGACGAUGUAAAAACAGUUGGUGAAUACUUGGAACAUAAUUUAAACUUUGUUGUCGACAGUAGAGACGAGUUUGGAUGGAGUGCUCUUAUGUGCGCGAGCUGUGCCGGGGCUGAAAAUGUUGUAAAAUUGCUUUUAAAUUGUGAUAUUGAUGUUGCAAUUAAGGAUAAAAAAGGCAACGAUUGUUUAUCAUUGGCUAAGAGUAGAGGUAACAAAAACAUUGUAAAACUAAUAGAACAUCAUAUAAAUAAUCCAAAAGAAAGAACAUUGGACGAUGUUUUUGUCAUAGAUGUGGACUCAGAUGAAGCAAAAAAUUCGGGUUCUUAUUAUUGUAAGGAUUGUAAAGAAUCUAUGCCAACUUCCGCUAAACCUAACCAUCUGACAUCUACAGUACACAAUUUCAACGCUGCGCGCAAAUCAGGUUUGAAAACGUCUUAUGGUAUAUCGGAAAGUAAUAAAGGCUUUCAAAUGCUUUUAAAAACUGGAUGGGACAGAGAAAAAGGCCUCGGCCCCGAAGGAGAAGGCCACAAGUUCCCGCCCAAAGUGAUGCUCAAGCAGGACCGGACAGGGCUGGGCGUCAACAAGUAUGUUGCCAAAGUCACACACAACCUAGAUGAUGUACCUAAAAAACGACUAGAAAGGACCAACACAAUAAAUAAGAGGCAAAAAGAGAAGAAGUUGAGGAAGGACAAGAUGAAGGAUAGAGAGCUACGUAGGAUUUUGAGCUAGAUGACUGACAAUCACCGAGAUAACAAGUGGAUGUGACACUCCAAAACAUGUGCCCGAUUGAAGUGGACCAAGGCCGAUGAAAUAUUAUAAAGAUGAAGAAAAUAAUAUCGAUUUGUCAUAGAAAUGGAUGACUCCUUCAUUACUGUAUUCCUGCUAAUAACAAAGAGCUGGGAAGAAGAUGCAGGGUGAAGUCGGCGGGCAAGACCAGUUAUCGGAUGCAGGAGCAAAGUGGCCACAUCGUAUAUAUAAUAAUGUGGCGGAAGUUUCCGUCCAGUUCUCGCCGUUCAUCCGAUCAAGUUGGCUCUUAGCUUUGUUCAGCGCACUCGUCCCACGGAGCUUAGCGCCUCCGGAAGUAGGAAAUGUGCGCUCUCCUAGUCAUCUAAAAAACAUUUUGAAAACAAUAUAACACAAUUAAUAAACACAGACAUACCUUAUUGUAAUCAGUACUUGAUUGAUUGAAAUUCGCGAUGACUUUUUCGAAAUUAAAGAGUUGAUAGAUAGCAUCUGAGUGCCGGUGUUAAUUUGCUUCAAAUAGUUCAUCUACACAAAAAAACAUUGUGCAAGAACGUUGUUGAUGGGAUCUGUGAUUUAUUCGUGGGAUUGGGUAAUAUUUGGCGACAGUUUUAAUCGACCUUGAUUGGAAGGUUCAUGAACCCCGAUUUGGACAUUGUUGUGAGAUUGUUACCAGCUUAAUCUACAAAACUCCAGCGCCAUGAGAUUAUCGGCGAUUCUAACUCUGCUAGCCACACUGUUCACUGUGAUGGUGCAAGCCGGCUAUUACGUGGCGGGGCCUUCCUACUACAAAACCAUGGUUAAGUACGUGUACCGCCCUCCCACCAAGCGGAUCAGCUCAUCCUACUCCUACUACAAGCCCUACCGGCGCUCGAGACGGGUCUACUACAAGCGCCUCUACUCGGCUGGAACCGGCAAGAAAUAUGUGCUAGUGUGGUAUUAAAAAAAACUAUUACUAAAAACUUUUAAUCAGAAUUUUCGUGAUUUAAAUUAUCAUUCACAAGCAUAAUAUUUGUUUCUCUGCAAUCCUAAAUUAUGAAUUCAAUUGUGGAACAUCUCUCAAUACGUGUUAUAUCAACCAUUCAAAAACGUCAUAUUUGUUUGGGCAUAGAACCUCAAUGCCCUAGAAGCCCAGAUUGUGUUUCAAUUUCAAUAUAACAACACUCAGUAAGAAAACUGAUCUACCAUUCAGGUAGAUAUAAUUUUCCAAAGUUGAAAACUUCAACCUUAUAGUGAGGUCCACGUUAAAAUGGCAGUGAAGAAGGAUAGGAGAACAUCGUUGCCGAUUCUCUGCCUUGCCACUUCCUUCUCAGCAGCUGAUACCGGUAUAUCUGAUGUAAUAAUAACUGUCUAUUCCUGUUAAAUAUAAUCAAUUAUAUUUUACUCGACUUUCAAUGAUCGUUAAGAUUCAAUCUUUCAAUGAUUUAAUAAUAAAUGUUCAUAAUUGAGAUUAAAUGAAUAUUUUGUUAAUUAUAUUUCUACAUGUCUCGUUGAAAAACGAGCUAGCAACGUUGCGGAGCUAGAAAAGGAUAGCACUAUCUGAUUUUUUGAAUGAUAGUCAAGGUUAGCAACACCAAUUUUAAUCAAAUACUGCCAUUAUAACGUGAACCUCACUAUAGAAGAUUAUUUCAGUAAAUCUACCAUUUAAAAACACAAUAUCAAGAUUGAAAGUAUGAAACGUUGUAAGCUGAUACCAUACCCGUCGAUGAAGAUAGAUAGAAGAAGAUAGAAGAAGAUAGGAGCAUAUCCUAAGAGAUGAAUUUAUCUGCUAUUCAAUAAAAUAAUAUUUCUCAUGAUAAACUCCUUGAACGUUAUAAAAGUUAUAUUUUAGUUGAAAGCUUCCCUUAGAUUAAAAUGUGUUUGAGGGCGUACCAGCUUGAUAGUCAGAAUUUUUAUUUUUGAAGUGAAUGUGAAUAUUAUUCUGUAUUAUUAUAGAUUCUGUAUGUUUUUGAUUGUCUGAAUGUGUUUUGUAAAUUGACUUAUAUUUUUUAAUUAGGUAAAUAUGAAUUGAUGACAGCCAGAAGUGUUUGUAUUACUGUAGUUAUAGAACUGUAUAAAUGAACAAAUUUUGAAGACAUUGCUUCCAAAUGUAAAUAGAAACAUAGAAGUUGUUAUUGAUAAAAAAUUAUAACUCAUAUUCCAAUUAACAAUAGAGAUUUAACUUCUUGACAUAACACGAUUUCAUUCCAAUAAACGCUGUAACUUACUUUUUUUGUGUGUUCGAAGGUUUGCCUUUUGCAUUCUUUUAACAUUGGCAACCGUAUAUUGAAUUUUCAAGAAAACUAAAAAAAAUGCGUUAUAUAUUAACACUAUAUUUUAAUCUUGAUUCUUUCAUUUUGGGAAGAACACAUUUGAUAAUAGAAAAUUCAAAUUGAAAAUGAUGAAAUCGAAAAUUUUAAUGGUCGAUAACCAUAAACAUUAAUUUUCGAGCUGAACAUUAGUUUAUGGUCUAAAUUCAAUUUCUUGAUAGCUAUAUCAUACUAAAUUCUCAAUCCAGUUAUGAAAUUAUCAAAUGCUCACUUUCUCAAGUUCUAUCACAAUGGAAAUAUUCUGAAUCGAGUAGAAUAUUAGAAUUUUCCCUCCAAAGUGUUAUUGAUGGAUUCAUUUUCGCUUAUAUGAUUCACAUUCCUAGCAUAACAAUGCAGUAAGAUUUAAAUUAUAUUUUUGUUAGAUUUAAUAAUGUCAUUGAUGGAUAAAAUAGAAAUAUUCUCAAUUCAAUUAAUUUGCAUUGUAUACUGAUAAUAGAAUUUAGAACUCCCUGCUAUGAAGUAUUAGUGAUGGAUAUAAACAAUGAAUUUUGUAUUCCAUUUAUUAGCAUUGUUUCCUCUCAUACGGUACUCUAAUUAAUUCAAUCCAUUCAGUUGUCUUGACCUAAUUCGUAAAAAUGCUUGGAUUGCAUUCAAUAGAAUAUACCUCUUUUUUGACUAAAUCUAUUCAAGUUUGGAGAGAAUGCUUUCCCUACUUAUUAGACCAUAAAUAGUUUCUGAAACUUCAGCUUCUCAAAUAAAGUUCUCAUUUCACAAACCAAUUCAAAAUUAUUUUAUUGCAUUGUUUCAAUUUGCUAAAAGUAGGAGAAUGUUGAGCAAUUUAUUUUGGAGAAUUUUGCCAUUGUUUAGAAUAGCACUAUGGGAAUUGUUGAGGAACCAAAGUAACGAACAACUGGAAAUGGUUAUCACCUCUAAAUCCGGUUCUCUCAAUCAGGAUUUCUCUAGAAAAGGAAAUUCUACAAUUCUACAAAAGAGUUUAAAUCUUACAGUAUUACUAUGCUAGGAAUGUUAUUCAUUUGAAAAUCCACGUGAAAUGUGUAGACCAAUUAUAGAAAUUGAUGAAAUACUAUAGGUUUUCAUUUAAAAGGUUUCAGGUUUUAUGUCUUCCUAUUAAAUUGAUCGGAGUCCAUUGUUUAUCUGGAUCCAAAUAAUGUAGGGAUUUGAAAAAAAUUAGGUGUCACUUUAAAAUUUUAAGCAACUAUUCCCUUAAGUUCUAAUAAUUAUGAGAAUUUUUUUCUAACAUCCACAGUGUAUUAAUGUUAUGGAUGAAGCCAAAGUACAUUAUUAGAAUAUAUUGUGUUCAACUGCAUACUAAUUUAUGCGUUUACUUCUUGUUUAUAAUAAACAGUAUAACUUGAGUA